GUGUUGUAUUUGGAUCGAUUAUUUGGUAGAUAAAUUAAUCGAAAAUACAACCUGCGAUAUUGUAAGGGCUCGUUAGGUCGGUAUCAUAAAGAAGGUAAAUGUCAGGAAAAAUUAAGGAAAAGCCGAAAAGCGGAAAAAUGCCGCGUCAUUCCCGUAGGUAUAAAAGGGGGAAAAAGGAAAACGCGCCCUUAUUAUUCAAGUGGUGCGACAGUAAAAUAGUGGUCAUAAAAGCAAUAAAAGCCUCGAUAUUUAUUUUAUUAUUUAUGGUGAAGGCGUUAGUAAUUGAUUGUAAGUGAUCCUUGUAUGAAUUAUAAUUGUGUAGAUAUAUGAGUGUUUUUGUGUUGUGUGCUUUUAUGUCUUUCAGUGUUUCGCCAAAAUAAUUUAAAUUUCUCGAGGGUAUCAACUGGCCUCCUCGGCGAACAAAAGCGGAGAGGUCAGCCCAUCUUUGACGGCCACAGCAACCACCACAACGCAAAAUUGAGGCCCCAGCAACCGCCUCCAUAACACCAAUUCCCUUGAUCCAUGAUAUCCGGGUUCUGCUUUAUCCUGGUGGACGAGGUCGCGGAAGAGUGAUCCUGGAAAAGAACAAAGCAGGUUGUACUAAAGAAUGCAAAAAGCCAGGUAACAAAGUUAUUUAUUAAACUUACCGCUUGUUUGAUACAACCACUGGCAUAAAAUAAAAACCAGAACCAGGAGGGAGACCCUGCAACAGAAAAAAGGAGAAAUUCCAUUAAAUAAAA